rnacentral:tRNA from 1 species
UCCCUAGAGGACUAGUGGUUAGGCCAUGGUGCUCUCACUGCCACGGCCCGGCCAGUUUGAUUCCCGGCCAGGGAU